rnacentral:rRNA from 1 species
AUUGAACGCUGGCGGAAUGCUUUACACAUGCAAGUCGAACGGCAGCACGGGGCAACCUGGUGGCGAGUGGCGAACGGGUGAGUAAUACAUCGGAACGUGCCCAAUCGUGGGGGAUAACGUAGCGAAAGUUACGCUAAUACCGCAUACGAUCUACGGAUGAAAGCGGGGGAUCGCAAGACCUCGCGCGAAUGGAGCGGCCGAUGUCAGAUUAGGUAGUUGGUGGGGUAAAGGCUCACCAAGCCAACGAUCUGUAGCUGGUCUGAGAGGACGACCAGCCACACUGGAACUGAGACACGGUCCAGACUCCUACGGGAGGCAGCAGUGGGGAAUUUGGACAAUGGGCGCAAGCCUGAUCCAGCCAUUCCGCGUGCAGGAUGAAGGCCUUCGGGUUGUAAACUGCUUUGUACGGAACGAAACGGUCUGCCCUAAUACGGCGGGCUAAUGACGGUACCGUAAGAAUAAGCACCGGCUAACUACGUGCCAGCAGCCGCGGUAAU